rnacentral:rRNA from 1 species
UACGUAGGGGGCAAGCGUUGGUCCGGAAUUAUUGGGCGUAAAGAGCGCGUAGGCGGUCCGGUAAGUCGGCUGUGAAAGUCAGGGGCUCAACCCUUGGAAGCCGGCCGAUACUGUCGGACUAGAGUCCGGAAGAGGCGAGUGGAAUUCCCGGUGUAGCGGUGAAAUGCGCAGAUAUCAGGAGGAACACCGGUGGCGAAGGCGGGUCUCUGGGUCGAAAUUGACGCUGAGGAGCGAAAGCGUGGGGAGCAAAUAGG